AUAUAAACACCUAGAAGUCUUUAUAUCUGCUAAAACCACCAAUCUGUUUCACUGGAUUCAGAAUAAAACCACAUUAAUCUUUAUCUUCAUUUAUUUCAACUUCAUGUUAUUCAAAUAUGACAUUUUUAAAUGUAUUUAAUUUCUUUGACAAGCAAUUCUAUUAUAGUCAUACUCUUGUUCGCUAGCGGCUACAAUUUCAGUACUAUUGAAGAUCUAUGCUCCAACUCCGUGGUGAUCUUAUUUUUACAAAAUACAACUAAUAGUACGUUAAUGUUAAAUCUCACAUGUGAAAAGUAAUCCCCUGAUUCCUAUUUUCAACAGUGUGCUCAUUUGAGCGCUGUCCUGUCUGUCAACUGUCAGUUUGGACAUCUCGCUGGCUCCUCAUCACCACUUCAAGAUGGCGGGUGGAUUUCUCGUGUCAUAGCAGCCAAUGCUGCGUCAACUUCUAUAUCUAUGAUGGAAACAGUAUACAAAACCCAUUAUUUUUUGGUCUAAACUAGUGCUGUCAAAAACUGUGGAAUGCCGGAGCCUUCAUUUUGGCCCGCGAGACGUCAUUAGUUAAUAAGAAAUGUGGCCCAUGGGGUGUUCACAAAUCAUUUUGAACAUCGGAUAAUUUGAUCGCUGCUAACUUGCCAUCAUCUUGUGGACAGCGUCAGUAAUUUAGGUCAAUGACCAUGAAUUGUGGUUCCAAGUGUGUAGCACAGCAUAUACUUAUAUGACUCAAUCCAAACAACUUAUCGUACUCAUGGCGCCAAAAAACUUUCCACACUUAUCCGUGUUUGGCGCAUUUAAGCUGAUGGAUAUUUUUGAUUGUUUGCCAAACUUUGGAGGUCGUCACGGAAGUAAACAAGUUGUGAGUCAAAUGUUCACAUACUCUCAAUAUCCAAUCAUAGUAUUUAGUUUAUAUCAUUAUAUCAAUACACAGUAAAUAUGUACACAUAUAUACUUAAUGCUUAGGCUAUUGUUACUUUACAUGCAGUCCGUUUUUAGUCCAACACUGAACCCGAGUCAAAAAGUUUGGACAGAGUGUGCAUAAAUGAUCAAAAUUUGCACAAAUGUUAGCAUGAAAUGUUAGCAUGAUAACAUAAGAAAAGUAAGCCUACUUCUAAGAUGGCGACAAAUAUGAGAAUCCAUGAUUUGUAGGUUCAAAUGAAUAUUUUCUAAAAUACUAGCAUUAAAUGUUGGCAUGGUCACGUUAGAAUAAUAACAGCAAAACUUAAGUACUUCUAAGGCGUCACCAAGUAUCAAAAUCCAUGAUUAAGUUCAAAUUAAUAACAUUUGCCAAAAUACUUGCUUAAAUGUUUGCAUGCUAAUGUUAGCAUGAUAACAUAGGAAAAGUUAGCAUAGUUCAAGAUAGCACCGAGUAUCAUAAUCAAUGAUCUUUAGUAGAGAUGUCCAAUAAUGGCUUUUUUGCCCAUAUCUGAUAUUCCGAUAUUGUCCAACUCUUAAUUACAAAUACCGAUCUAUAGAGUGGUGGAUUUAACACAUUAUUAUGCCUCAUUUUGUUGUGAUGCCCUGAUGGAUGCAUUAAAGGUUUUCCAAAAUAAGAGAACAACUUCAACUCAAGUUAUGUAAAAAAAUGCCAACAUGGCACUGCCAUAUUUAUUAUUGAAGUCACAAAGUGCAAUAUUUUUUUAACAUGCCUCAAAACAGCAGCUUGGAAUUUGGGACAUGCUCUCCCUCAGAUAAUCUUGAUACCCACUACAACUAUGGGAAAUACUAUACUUUGACUUUCACUAAGUCUAAGUCUGCAUUAUUCUUUAUAUUUUUUAAACGUGCCUCAAAACAACAGCUACAAAAACAAAGAAGGCACACAGCUUCAGUCCAGACUGUACUAGAGUAAUAAAGUAAACAAUAACAUAAUCCUCUAGUGCAAGACUGCCUGGCAUACUGUAUAACAGGAAAUUAUAAACUGGGCUCAAUCUGCCCUGCUCCAAGGUCUUUGUAUGAGUCACACAAAUGUGCUGCAAGCUGGUGGUGAGUGCUUGAAGUGGCCUACUAGUCAGUCAGAGCUUCUGAAAUGCUGCGUUGAGACAGCACACCUCCGUUCACUGCAAGCUGCAAUGUGUGUGCCAUGCAGGGCAGACUAGCCACACCAAACUCUACCGUCGUGUGUCGUCCCUGACCACAACUUGAGCUUUGGCCUUGGGUUUUUUUUGUUGUAUUUUUGUUUUUUCUCUGGCGGAGUCUUUAAGCGACAACUGUGUGGUACUACUUUUUUUCGCUGUUUGCUUUUCAUCCAUUUUCCGCUUUUAUUCCUCCUGUAUCUCCUUAUGAUUCUUGAAGAGGUGGUAGAUCAAAUUGCUUGUGUUAAAGGAAGAGGUCUUUGUUCCUCCUCGCUUAACCAACUUACUGCAGUCAUUAUAAAUUGCCAGUUUUUUAUCCGUCAGACACUUUAAAAUAAUCCCAAACCAUUAGACAUUGUGUCAGUCAGUCAUCGAGCGAGCUUGCUUGUUAGCCACGGCUACAGCACCGGCAACAAUACACUCUUGUUAUGUUGCGCUCGCGGCGGUUUGCUGAGGUUAUCGUGCUGCAACUCCUGUGUUGUGUGUGUGGAGAGGGAAGGGCCUGCUGACUUGGUUUAUAUUCGUGUUUUACCAAAUAUGUACCGCUCAGUACAACAGCGUUUUAAAAAGUCAUUCCUUUUUAAUUCUUGAAACGAAUACCGAAAAUUUCCGAUAUCACAUUUUAAAGCAAUUAUCAGCCGAUAUCGGCAGUCUGAUAUCGGACAUCUGUAAUUUUUAGGUUUAAAUGAAUAGACCUAGAUACAAUUUGAGCAUAAAUUAACAUACUAACGUUAACAUGCUAACACAUUAGAUGUUGGCAACAACUAAUAUGGCACACAGUUUCAAAAGCCAAGUUUUUAGGUUUGAAUCCAAUACAUUUUGAUAAAAAGUGAACAUAAAAUGUUGGCAUUUUAUAAUGAAAACAGUUAGCAUACAUGCUACUGUUUACAGUAUGUAAAUGGUCGCAUGCUUUGCAGCAGGCCUAUAAUAAUAAUAAUAAUAAUCUCAAAACAAUAGAAAAGUAUGUACAUAAGUUGGAGAAAUAUAAACAUUAUACUUUAUGCUCACCUCUGUUUGACUUCUGCGACUGCAGCAUGUUGACAUUUUUUACUGUGAAAAGCCAAGAAACAGAUUUGCAGUGUCAGUAUAAUUGACAACAACAAGAAUACAUUAGCGUUGAGGAUAAACACCUGCAGUGCUGAUGUUGGUAAAGUGUGCCUGGUAAGAAGUCUGCAGGUGGUCCUUCAUGUCGGAGAUGGCUCUCCUCACGCUGCCAAAAGACGCGUGUGGAUUGAGUGUCAGAGAAGGUUCUUCUGCCGCUGGACUGCAAAACGUAUUCUGCACACAAAAGUCGAUCAGAACCCUGCAAACAACUUUGGAAGAUGCCAUUACUGAUCCAGAAGAGGUGAAAGCGCGGCGUCUCGCUCUUUCAGCUGGCAGAUUUGUCCUUCCAGGUGAUGCAGCAAGUUCUCACAGCGAGUCGACUCCGCCUUCUCCUGAGCCCUGAUGAGCGCCUUCACUUCCACGCGACGACGCUCCAGAAACGUUUGCAGCUCCGCAAAGAUCCUGCUGGCAUCCUUGACUGCUUCCUUGGCGCGGUGCUUAAAAAUAUGGUACAUGAUGUUUGUUAUUAUCAGUACAAGUCCAAAAUGGACAGAUGGGAACGUGUGCUUUUUAUUACUUACAGAGAAAGACUUCAAGUUUUGUUUCAGCUGCUGAACUUCACCUUCUUUCUCCAUAAUUUGCUCGCCAAUAUUUCUACGCAUUUCUUCAAAAUGUUUCUACGGCAACAAGAAAUAAAAGACUACUUUUUACUACCACAUA